rnacentral:rRNA from 1 species
GACGAACGCUGGCGGCGUGCUUAACACAUGCAAGUCGAACGGAAAGGCCCUGCUUUUGUGGGGUGCUCGAGUGGCGAACGGGUGAGUAACACGUGAGUAACCUGCCCUUGACUUUGGGAUAACUUCAGGAAACUGGGGCUAAUACCGGAUAGGAGCUCCUGCUGCAUGGUGGGGGUUGGAAAGUUUCGGCGGUUGGGGAUGGACUCGCGGCUUAUCAGCUUGUUGGUGGGGUAGUGGCUUACCAAGGCUUUGACGGGUAGCCGGCCUGAGAGGGUGACCGGGCACAUUGGGACUGAGAUACGGACCAGAAUCCUACGGGAGGCAGCAGUGGGGAAUAUUGCACAAUGGGCGGAAGCCUGAUGCAGCAACGCCGCGUGCGGGAUGACGGCCUUCGGGUUGAAAACCGCUUUCGCCUGUGACGAAGCGUGAGUGACGGUAAUGGGUAAAGAAGCACCGGCUAACUACGUG